ensembl:lncRNA
GUUUGUUCGUCAGCACAUCAUCACGGUUAGCAGUCGUCCUAGAACUGUGAUCAUGUGCUUUAGAAUAAACUGUUUUUCCGAUUGAAUGAGGUCACUGCAAGAUUGAUAGCGUGGCAUGCAGCUCCAUGCCACCAGCUUAACCCCUGGAUUCUCCACAUUCCAGCCCAAAGUCAGGCACAAGUCUCGCCGCCGCUCCGUUGAAGCUUUGACCUUUGACCUGUGGAGUUCUUUCUCGCUGUUGCUGCCAUUCUACGUCACUUUGGGACAUAUUAGUUAAAUACAUCAACUUUUCAGGUGACAGUGAGCACGUUUGUGCUUCUGUUCCACCACAUUCCUCCUGUCUUUGUUUUCUUUGAUUUCUUUGAUUAAACAGCGGCAGAAUCUCACACCACGCUCCUCCACAGUUACCACACGUUUCCUCCAACUGCUUAAGAGCCAUAAAUAGAAAAAUACAUUUUUUUGUUCCUCUGGGUCACAGUAGCCUGAAAUAUGUAUAAAUAUUUCUUAUUUUCUUUCAUUCCUGGCGACUGAUGAGCGUUUUUAGUCUUUAAUCAAACUGCUCUGGGAAACGUUGCAUUCACCCG